rnacentral:lncRNA from 1 species
CGCUGCUGAUAAAGACAGCCGAGAGUGGGUAAUUUAUGAAGAAAAAGAGGUUUAAUGGGCUCGCAGUUCCACGUGGCUGUGGAGGCCUCACGAUCAUGGCGGAAGGUGAAAGGCACAUCUUGCAUUGGCAGCAGAUAUCUGUCCUGGGAAACAAAGCAUCUCCUGAAUAAUACUGUCAGCUAAAAUUCAACAAUUUCCAGCAAAAAGAUAAAAAAAGAUUCCCAUGGAUAACCGUAGAAACUGUUCUAUUACAAAAUUAAUAUUCAUAUUAUUCUUAUUAUGGAACAUGAACCCUUCAAGAUCUGGUUCCUCAAAUAUGUUAACAGCCUUCUUACCAUCCUAUUUGCUAAACUCAAAGUUUCCAGAAUUCAACUUGCUCGUACACAUUUUGUGGACUUUCCACACAUCCCGUUCCUUCUCAUGCUUCUUCUCCCCCAGUUGGCAGGACAAAUUUUACACCCUCAGGGAUCACUUGGCUGCCCAUAGCUGCAAGGAUGAAUGGAAGUUUAAUUUUUAGCUUUCCAGAACUCAGCAGAGGAGAGCAAGUGAAGAGAUGAGGAAACAUAUUGAUUUAGGCCAACUAUAAUAUCUUCUACAGCAACAAAUCCACCUGUGUACACGUAAAGGCUAUCACACACAUGUUUGAAAUUAAAUUUAAACAAAUUUAUGAGUGUUCUACAUUAUACUUCUUACUUCAUUUGCUUUUGUAUUUUAAUAUUAAAAAUGUCAAAAGCAAAAAAUGCACCCUGUUUUAAUACUGCGUGUUUAAUAAACAUGUGUCCUAAGACUUUCGUAUAUAGAAAGUUUGUCGAAAGAGGUAUUAGCUUUAUUUUGUUCACCCCAAUAAUUCAAAUUAGAUUUUAGCUUACAUGAAUGCAUAUUGUCAUUUAAAAAGGUUUGUGGCAAUUGUAAAAUAUCUUAGAUUUAAACACUUUAAGUACUUUUUCAAAUAAGACAUAAAUUUUGUGAACCAAUGGUAAACUUGUAAUGUGUAGAUGGUCUCUUUUAUUUUUACUUAAUAUUUUAUAAUAAUAAGGCAUUAUUUUGAAUAGUGGCAAAUGAGACUAUAUAAUAUGUUGUGAAAAGAAACUGAAUUACUAAAUAGAAUCCGACACCACUAAGUAGGGAAUAGAUUUGUACGUUUCUGAAAGAUCUGUCAGUAAACUGGAGAGCUCUAUAAGUGGGUGUGUCUUUUGUAUUAACAUCAAAUCUUUAGAUGAUAAUUUACAAUAUUUAUAUUUUAUUUUUAUGUACUUACAAAAGUGAUUUUUGAUCAUUUGUCAAAAACUAAUUUACUUUGUGCAUAUUACAGUAAAAUUAGGCAAACCUGACUUGAAAUAAGACAUAACCUUGGAAACUUUCAACAUUUUUAUAUCCUUUUUUAGCCAAUCAGAAUUUUUGUCUUCCUCUCUAAUAUUCCUGGUAUCUGCCUCUUAUGUUUAGCACCCAUUAACUUAGUUUUUAUUGAAGUAGGAAGCACAAAAUAUCAUAUCUACUUUUCUUUUUGUU